GUUGUUUGUUUUUUUGAGCGUUCGGUGGAUGCCUUGGCAUCAGGGGCCGAUGAAGGACGUGGUGGCCUGCGAUAUUCCUCGGGGAGCCGGCUGGCGGGCUGUGAUCCGAGGGUUUCCGAAUGGGGGGACCCGGCACGAGUUAUGUCGUGUCACCUGCAUCUGAAUUGUAUAGGGUGUGGGGGGUGACGCGGGGAAGUGAAACAUCUCAGUACCCGUAGGAGAAGAUAUUCCGUGAGUAGUGGCGAGCGAAAGCGGAUGAUGGUUAAACCGUGUGCGUGUGAUACUCGGCAGGGGUUGCGUGUGCGGGGUUGUGGGGCUGUCCUGUUUCUCUUCUGCCGGAGAGGGGGCGCGUGUGCUGAUCUGUAGCUGAAUCGUCUGGGAAGGCGUGGCGUAGUGGGUGAUACCCCCGUAGGCGGAACUGGUUGGUGCGUGUCUGGGACAGUGUUGCCCGAGUAGCACGGGGCUCGUGGAAUCCUGUGUGAAUCUGCCAAGACCACUUGGCUGCCUGAAUACCUCCUGAUGACCGAUAGUGGAUAGUACCGUGAGGGAAUGGUGAAAAGUACCCCGGGAGGGGAGUGAAAUAGUACCUGAAACCGGGCGCUUACAAGCCGUCAGAGCCUUCAUGCGCUUUUGGUGUGUGGGGGUGGUGGCGUGCCUUUUGAAGAAUGAGCCUGCGAGUCAGUGGCGUGUCGCGAGGUUAACCCGUGUGGGGUAGCCGUAGCGAGAGCGAGUCCGAAUAGGGCGUUUGUAGUGGCGCGUUCUGGACCCGAAGCGGGGUGAUCUACCCAUGGCCAGGUUGAAGCACGUGUAAGAGCGUGUGGAGGACCGAACCCACCUAGGUUGAAAACUGGGGGGAUGAGCUGUGGGUAGGGGUGAAAGGCCAAUCAAACUCCGUGAUAGCUGGUUCUCCCCGAAAUGCAUUUAGGUGCAGCGUCGCGUGUUGCCCGGCGGAGGUAGAGCUACUGGGUGGCUGAUGGGCCCCACAGGGUUACUGACGUCAACCAAACUCCGAAUGCCGUCGGGUUGUAGCGUGGCAGUGAGACCGCGGGGGAUAAGCUCCGUGGUCGAGAGGGAAACAGCCCAGAUCGCCGGCUAAGGCCCCUAAGCGUGUGCUAAGUGGGAAAGGAUGUGCGGUCGCGCAGACAACCAGGAGGUUGGCUUAGAAGCAGCCAUCCUUGAAAGAGUGCGUAAUAGCUCACUGGUCAAGUGAUCGUGCGCCGACAAUGUAGCGGGGCUCAAGCACACCGCCGAAGCCGCGGACCCAUGACGUUGUUCCCUUCACUGUCCGGCUUGUCCGGGUGGUGGCAGGGGUUGUGGGUGGUAGGGGAGCGUCCUGCACCGGGGGAAGCCUGUGGGUGACUGCUGGUGGACGGUGCGGGAGUGAGAAUGCAGGCAUGAGUAGCGAUACUAGGGUGAGAAGCCCUAGCGCCGAAUGACCAAGGGUUCCAGGGCCAGGCUAGUCCGCCCUGGGUGAGUCGGGACCUAAGGCGAGGCCGACAGGCGUAGUCGAUGGAUGACGGGUUGAUAUUCCCGUACCGGCGAAGCACCGCCCAUGCUGACGCGCGGGUGCUAACCCACGCCCAGCCGCCAUAAAGGCCGCAUGUGUCAGGUUCGCCUGACGGUGUGGUUGUGGUGGUGGGGUCUGGGGAUCCUCCGUGCAGGUAGGCAAGCGUGUUAACAGGGGUGACGCACAGUGGUAGCCCGGCGGACCUGAUGGCUUGGUCCGUUCAAGCGCGCAGCCCGUCUCCCAGGUAAAUCCGGGGGACUGUCUUUGAUGACGGGGGUGAGGCGUGAUGGUGACCUCACACUGGUGGGGGAUAACAGGGUGAUCCUGGGGUGCCGAGAAAAGCCUCGACGCGAUGGUGCCAGCCGCCCGUACCCUAAACCGACACAGGUGGUCGGGCAGAGUAUGCCUAGGCGCACGAGUGAAUCAUGGUUAAGGAACUCGGCAAAAUGCCCCCGUAACUUCGGGAGAAGGGGGGCCUGAUCCCUGAAGCCCCGUCGCGGGCUAGGGGGGAGGGUCGCAGAGGCCAGGGGGAAGCGACUGUUUACUAAAAACACAGGUCCGUGCGAAGCCGUAAGGCGAUGUAUACGGACUGACGCCUGCCCGGUGCUGGAAGGUUAAGAGGAACCAUCAACCCCCUUGUGGGGUGAAGUGGUGAAUUUAAGCCCCAGUAAACGGCGGUGGUAACUAUAACCAUCCUAAGGUAGCGAAAUUCCUUGUCGGGUAAGUUCCGACCUGCACGAAUGGCGUAACGACUUCCCCGCUGUCUCAACCAUGAGCUCGGCGAAAUUGCAGUACGAGUAAAGAUGCUCGUUUCGCGCAGAAGGACGGAAAGACCCCGGGACCUUUACUACAGCUUGGUAUUGGCGCCCGCUAUAGCUUGUGCAGGAUAGGUGGGAGACUGUGAAGCCGUUACGCCAGUGGUGGUGGAGUCGUCCUUGAAAUACCACUCUGGUUAUGGCGUGCGCCUGAACCUGGGCCCGUGAUCCGGGUUAGGGACAGUGCCUGGUGGGUAGUUUAACUGGGGCGGUUGCCUCCUAAAGUGUAACGGAGGCGCUCAAAGGUUCCCUCAGCCUGGUCGGCAACCAGGUGUUGAGUGCAAGUGCACAAGGGAGCUUGACUGUGAGACCGACGGGUCGAGCAGGUACGAAAGUAGGAACUAGUGAUCCGGCGAUCCCGUGUGGGUGGGUCGUCGCUCAACGGAUAAAAGGUACCCCGGGGAUAACAGGCUGAUCCUGCCCAAGAGUCCAUAUCGACGGCAUGGUUUGGCACCUCGAUGUCGGCUCGUCGCAUCCUGGGGCUGGAGCAGGUCCCAAGGGUUGGGCUGUUCGCCCAUUAAAGCGGUACGCGAGCUGGGUUUAGAACGUCGUGAGACAGUUCGGUCCCUAUCCUCUGCGCGCGCAGGAGACUUGAGAAGGCCUGUCCCUAGUACGAGAGGACCGGGACGGACGAACCUCUGGUGUGCCAGUUGUCCCGCCCGGGGCACGGCUGGUUGGCUACGUUCGGGAAGGGUAACCGCUGAAAGCAUCUAAGCGGGAAACCAUCUUCAAGAUAAGGUCUCCACAGAACACCUCGGUGUUCUGGGAGGCCCCCAGCAGACUACUGGGUUGAUAGGCCAGAAGUGGAAGACCGGCAACGGUUUGUGAGCUGACUGGUACUAAUAGGCCGACACAAACAACAACACCCC
rnacentral:rRNA from 1 species